rnacentral:hammerhead_ribozyme from 1 species
GCUGACGAGUCCAAAAUAGGACGAAACGCGCGUCC